UGGCCUAUGGGGGAAUCGAACCCACAACCUUCGCAUUAUCAGCACGACACUCUAAUCAGCUGAGCUAAUGGGUC